GACGAACGCUUUCUUCUUUCUUAACACAUGCAAGUCGAACGGUGAAGCGCCUUCCUUUUUGGUGGGUGUGGAUGAGUGGCGAACGGGUGAGUAACACGUGAGUAACCUGCCCCCUUCUUCUGGAUAACCGCAUGAAAGUGUGGCUAAUACGGGAUAUUCUGUGUCUGUCGCAUGAUGGGUCUGGGAAAGAUAUUGUUUCGGUGGGGGAUGGGCUCGCGGCCUAUCAGCUUGUUGGUGGGGUGAUGGCCUACCAAGGCGGUGACGGGUAGCCGGCCUGAGAGGGUGGACGGUCACACUGGGACUGAGACACGGCCCAGACUCCUACGGGAGGCAGCAGUGGGGAAUAUUGCACAAUGGGCGCAAGCCUGAUGCAGCGACGCCGCGUGAGGGAUGGAGGCCUUCGGGUUGUGAACCUCUUUCGCCAGUGAAGCAGGCCUGCCUCGUUUGUGGGUGGGUUGACGGUAGCUGGAGAAGAAGCGCAGGCUAACUACGUG
rnacentral:rRNA from 1 species